rnacentral:rRNA from 1 species
GAUGAACGCUGGCGGCGUGCCUAAUACAUGCAAGUCGAGCGAACAGACGAGGAGCUUGCUCCUCUGACGUUAGCGGCGGACGGGUGAGUAACACGUGGAUAACCUACCUAUAAGACUGGGAUAACUUCGGGAAACCGGAGCUAAUACCGGAUAGUAUAUUGAACCGCAUGGUUCAAUAGUGAAAGACGGUUUUGCUGUCACUUAUAGAUGGAUCCGCGCCGCAUUAGCUAGUUGGUAAGGUAACGGCUUACCAAGGCGACGAUGCGUAGCCGACCUGAGAGGGUGAUCGGCCACACUGGAACUGAGACACGGUCCAGACUCCUACGGGAGGCAGCAGUAGGGAAUCUUCCGCAAUGGGCGAAAGCCUGACGGAGCAACGCCGCGUGAGUGAUGAAGGUCUUCGGAUCGUAAACCUCUGUUAUUAGGGAAGAACAAAUGUGUAAGUAACUAUGCACGUCUUGACGGUACCUAAUCAGAAAGCCACGGCUAACUACGUG